GGAUGGGUGUCCGAGUGGUCGAAGGAUCUAGUCUUGAAAACUAGCGUAGGGGUAACUCUACCGUGGGUUCGAAUCCCACCCCAUCCG
rnacentral:tRNA from 1 species